rnacentral:rRNA from 1 species
UGAGGGAUAUUGCACAAUGGGCGCAAGCCUGAUGCAGCGACGCCGCGUGGGUGAAGAAGGUUUUCGGAUCGUAAAACCCUUUUCUGUGUGACGAGCAAGGACGGUAGCACAGGAAUAAGUCUCGGCUAACUACGUGCCAGCAGCCGCGGUAAAACGUAGGAGACAAACGUUAUCCGGAGUUACUGGGCGUAAAGGGCGUGCAGGCGGCAGUCUAAGUCUGGCGUGAAAUUUCCCGGCUUAACCGGGGGAGGUCGUCGGAUACUGGGCAGCUCGAGGGCGGUAGAGGCGUGUGGAAUUCCGGGUGUAGUGGUGAAAUGCGUAGAGAUCCGGAGGAACACCAGUGGCGAAGGCGACACGCUGGGCCGCACCUGACGCUAAGACGCGACAGCAUGGGGAGCAAACAGGAUUAGAUACCCAAGUAGUCCCUGAGCGGGCUGGCAAGGCGCAU